rnacentral:rRNA from 1 species
GUGUCAGCAGCCGCGGUAAUACGGAGGGUGCGAGCGUUAAUCGGAAUUACUGGGCGUAAAGCGCAUGCAGGCGGUCUGUUAAGCAAGAUGUGAAAGCCCGGGGCUCAACCUCGGAACAGCAUUUUGAACUGGCAGACUAGAGUCUUGUAGAGGGGGGUAGAAUUUCAGGUGUAGCGGUGAAAUGCGUAGAGAUCUGAAGGAAUACCGGUGGCGAAGGCGGCCCCCUGGACAAAGACUGACGCUCAGAUGCGAAAGCGUGGGGAGCAAACAGGAUUAGAAACCCUAGUAGUCC